CACGUAUGGGGCAAGCGUUGUUCGGAAUCACUGGGCGUAAAGGGCGUGUAGGCGGUUCGGGAAGCCUGGCGUGAAAGGUAUCGGCUUAACCGGUAGACUGCGCGAGGAACUGCCGGACUGGAGUCACGGAGGGGGAGCUGGAAUUCCAGGUGUAGGGGUGAAAUCUGUAGAGAUCUGGAAGAACACCGGUGGCGAAGGCGAGCUUCUGGCCGAUGACUGACGCUGAGGCGCGAAAGCGUGGGGAG
rnacentral:rRNA from 1 species